CCUACGGGUGGCAGCAGUGGGGAAUAUUGGGCAAUGGGCGCAAGCCUGACCCAGCAACGCCGCGUGAAGGAAGAAGGCUUUCGGGUUGUAAACUUCUUUUGUCAGGGACGAAGCAAGUGACGGUACCUGACGAAUAAGCCACGGCUAACUACGUGCCAGCAGCCGCGGUAAUACGUAGGUGGCAAGCGUUAUCCGGAUUUACUGGGUGUAAAGGGCGUGUAGGCGGGGAGGCAAGUCAGAUGUGAAAACCACGGGCUCAACCUGUGGCCUGAAUUUGAAACUGUUUUUCUUGAGUGCUGGAGAGGAAAGAGGAAGUCGGGGGGGAGCGGGGAAAGGAGAAGAGAGAAGGAGGAA
rnacentral:rRNA from 1 species